rnacentral:rRNA from 1 species
UAUGGCCUUAGGCUCCUGAUUCUCGCAAAGGACACGGUUGCCUUGGCCGCUGGGAUUAUUGGGCUGCAGAGGCGCGAAACUUCCUUUAAUGCUAUUAACUGUGCGAAGGGGAUUAUCUUCGAGAUGCUUACCAUGAAGAAGGUGGCUUUUUUCGUGGUUAUAAAAAGCUUAUAGGGUAAUAAGAGGGGUGGCUAAGACUUGGUGUCUAGCCGCCGCGGUAACUACUCAGCCCCUUCGAGUGGUGGGGAUGAUUAUUUGGCCUUAAAGCGUUCGUAGCCGGCUCGGGUAAGUCUCUCCGAUUAAAUCUUAACGUCUUCUAAGCUGUUGGACUGCGGGAGAUACUGCCUGGCUUAGAGAGUGGGAGAGGUAGCGGUAUUCUUGGGGGUAGGGGCGAAAUCCUUUUGAUCCCCGGAGGACCAACCAGAGGCCGAAGGCUGCUGACUUAGAACACGUUUGACGGUUCAGGGACUGAAAGCUUGGGGUGCUAACCUGGAUUCAUACCUUGGUUAGUCCUAGCCGCUAACAUGCAUGCUAGGUGUUGGGUUGGCCACGAGCCACCCUCAGGCCUCAGGAGAAGCCGUUAAGCUAUGUCGCUUGGGAAGAACUGAUCGCAAGAUUGAAACUUUAAAGGGAAUUG